rnacentral:rRNA from 1 species
GGGGAUAACGUUCGGAAACGGACGCUAAUACCGCAUACGUCCUACGGGAGAAAGCAGGGACCUUCGGGCCUUGCGCUAUCAGAUGAGCCUAGGUCGGAUUAGCUAGUUGGUGAGGUAAUGGCUCACCAAGGCGACGAUCCGUAACUGGUCUGAGAGGAUGAUCAGUCACACUGGAACUGAGACACGGACCAGACUCCUACGGGAGGCAGCAGUGGGGAAUACGGGACAAUGGGCGAAAGCCUGAUCCAGCCAUGCCGCGUGCGUGAAGAAGGUCUUCGGAUUGUAAAGCACUUUAAGUUGGGAGGAAGGGUUGUAGAUUAAUACUCUGCAAUUUUGACGUUACCGACAGAAUAAGCACCGGCUAACUCUGUGCCAGCAGCCGCGGUAAUACAGAGGGUGCAAGCGUUAAUCGGAAUUACUGGGCGUAAAGCGCGCGUAGGUGGUUUGUUAAGUUGGAUGUGAAAUCCCCGGGCUCAACCUGGGAACUGCAUUCAAAACUGACUGACUAGAGUAUGGUAGAGGGUGGUGGAAUUUCCUGUGUAGCGGUGAAAUGCGUAGAUAUAGGAAGGAACACCAGUGGCGAAGGCGACCACCUGGACUAAUACUGACACUGAGGUGCGAAAGCGUGGGGAGCAAAC